rnacentral:rRNA from 1 species
CCUACGGGAGGCAGCAGUGAGGAAUAUUGGUCAAUGGACGAGAGUCUGAACCAGCCAAGUAGCGUGAAGGAUGACUGCCCUAUGGGUUGUACACUUCUUUUAUAAAGGAAUAACACGAUGCACGUGUGCCUUUUUGCAUGUACUUUAUGAAUAAGGAUCGGCUAACUCCGUGCCAGCAGCCGCGGUAAUACGGAGGAUCCGAGCGUUAUCCGGAUUUAUUGGGUUUACAGGGAGCGUAGAUGGGUUGUUAAGUCAGUUGUGAAAGUUUGCGGCUCAACCGUAAAAUUGCAAUUGAUACUGGCAGUCUUGAGUACAGUUGAGGUAGGCGGAAUUCGUGGUGUAGCGGUGAAAUGCUUAGAUAUCACGAAGAACCCAGAUUGCGAAGGCAGCUUACUAAACUGUGACUGACAUUGAUGCUCGAAAGUGUGGGUAUCAAACAGGAUUAGAUACCCGAGUAGUC